rnacentral:rRNA from 1 species
GGCAGAGGGUGCAAACGUUGUUCGGAAUUACUGGGCGUAAAGCGCGUGUAGGCGGCUAUGUAAGUCGGGCGUGAAAUCCCACGGCUCAACCGUGGAAGUGCACUCGAAACUGCAUAGCUAGAGUCCUGGAGAGGAAGGUGGAAUGCUUGGUGUAGAGGUGAAAUUCGUAGAUAUCAAGCGGAACACCGGUGGCGAAGGCGGCCUUCUGGACAGUGACUGACGCUGAGACGCGAAAGCGUGGGGAGCAAACAGG